GGGGAAUAUUGGACAAUGGGGGCAACCCUGAUCCAGCAAUGCCGCGUGUGUGAAGAAGGUCUUCGGAUUGUAAAGCACUUUCGACGGGGACGAUGAUGACGGUACCCGUAGAAGAAGCCCCGGCUAACUUCGUGCCAGCAGCCGCGGUAAUACGAAGGGGGCUAGCGUUGCUCGGAAUGACUGGGCGUAAAGGGCGUGUAGGCGGUUUACACAGUCAGAUGUGAAAUCCCCCGGGCUUAACCUGGGAGCUGCAUUUGAUACGUGUAGACUAGAGUGUGAGAGAGGGUUUGUGGAAUUCCCAGUGUAGAGGU
rnacentral:rRNA from 1 species